CCUCCAAAAGUAAUAAUCUUAGAAUUUGGAGCUCGGCCUUCUCCCUAUGUAUAUGGCCGAAACGAGAGCUCUGAAGGCGUUGGUUUAUGGCGAAGGAGACCCACAUCGCCCGGUUCCAAACCAUCAAGAACGCCUGCGAUCGCCUCCGUUGUUGCAGCCAAAACGAGAGCUCUGAAGACGUCCGUUCAUGGCGAAGGCGAAGGCGAAGGCGAACCACAUCACCCAGUUCCAAACCAUCAAGAACGCCUGCGAUCGCCUCCGUUGUUGCAGGAUUAUUGACAAGGUCUUGCUCGAUUGCCGGCAGCUCUGGUGUUCGGCGUCGUCGGAGCAAGGAAAGAUGACAAAGAAGAAGAAGAAGUUGAGGGGGAGGCGGAAAUGGAUGGCGACGAAUCGACGCCGCCGCUGUUGCUUGCAACAUUGGGACCCCGAGCGCCAGCGCCCGGGGAUUGCUAUUGCUGUAAAAGCUGGACUAACUAAGACAGAUUUUGAUUCCACCGUCUGAAUUCACCCAACAUCUGCAGAGGAGCUUGUCACAAUGAGGAGCCCAACUCGGAAAAUCCGGAAGGAUCCAUCCCCAGCAAUGGAAAAGAAUGUUGAUGAGAUCAGGCCAGAUAGGAAUAAGUAACUUCUCCGAAUGAGGCAAAUCAUUGAAAUAUACUCUUUUACUGCCUGCAAGAAAUUUUAGUAACAUGCAGAUUCUUUGAUAUUUUUUAUGUGCCUUAGCUUUGUAAUUAUCUUGAUCAUGCUAAAUUACUAUCAGGUUUCCUUGUCAAAAACUUAUUGCUUUCAUAACAUUGUGUUCAUAAGUUUCUUGGAUGCAUAAUCACUCUUUCUUUACUUGUUUGUGAAAUUAUUACUUUGA